AUCGAAGCCUUCCUGUCUGUACCUGAAUGGUCUGCCCAUCCCCAAUAAUAAUUGAAACAGGAUAAAGGAAAUCCAAUGGGAAAAAUUAAAAUGUAAAGGUAAGUACCUACACAUUUGCCGUGAAAUAUAUUGCAUCCAAAAACUUAUCAAUUUAUAAAAUCCAAAAUAUUAAUUCUUGUUCUAAUUUAACAGAUUUUACCGAAUGAGCGCAUAUCAAGCGCUGUCAACCCGUAAUCAAAUUUUGGAAACUUAGAUUGAACGAAGAGGAUAAACACGAAAAGUUAAUCAGACUACAAUAAACAACCGGAAAAUGGGUCAUAUUCUCAUCGAAGCCGUCUUGUCUGUACCUGGAUAGAGUCUAUGAUCGAAAACAUUGAUUGAGAUAGGACAGAGGAAAUCAAAUCACGAGAAAUAAAGUUUAAAGAUUCCGCCAACUGACAUAAAGAACACAACUUUCGCGAUUCCUUGAAAGGGUACUUUGGAAGAAAAUGACGCUAAGACACUCACAUGAAUCUGCCGAACUUCACUGAACAAAAAGGCUUUUCAAAACGGGAUACCUGCCUAGUUAAUUAUUAUAACUAUUACAUACAAUGUAAUAUAAAUUAAAUUGAAAUAAAAAAUUAUUUUUUUAAAUCAAAAUUCAAUAUUUAAUUUUUUUUAGUCAAACAAACUGGAUUUCCAGUUAGCAUGGCUAAACUUUAGUAAUCCAAGAAUUUUUAACAACUAUAGUCAUGUAAAUGAAAAUUUCUGUUCUCAUUCCUAAAAUUUAGUAAUCGAAGAAUUUAGAAUAAAUAGUUUUAUCAACAAAAACCUCUGUUGACAUUCCCAAACUUUAGUAAUAUACAGACGUAAAACAUUUUAAUAAUCAUAACUAAAUAUUCUGUUGAGAGAACUAAAAUUUUUCGUUUUGAGCAACUACUAAAAUUUUAGUAAAAAUUUCUUUACUAAAAUUCUCUACUAAAGUCCAGUCAGUGCCAGUUUUAGUAAUGAUAACUAAAAUCUGAAUUACAGU